UACAGAGGUCUCAAACGUUAUUCGGAUUCAUUGGGCUUAAAGGGUACGUAGGCGGCGCUAUCAGUCGGGUGUGAAAUCCCUCGGCUCAACCGAGGAACUGCGCCCGAUACUGUAGUGCUUGAGGGAGACAGAGGUAAGCGGAACUGAUGGUGGAGCGGUGAAAUGCGUUGAUAUCAUCAGGAACACCGGUGGCGAAAGCGGCUUACUGGGUCUCUUCUGACGCUGAGGUACGAAAGCUAGGGGAGCGAACGGG
rnacentral:rRNA from 1 species